UAGUCCACGCCGUAAACGAUGUCUACUAGCUGUAGGGGUACUUGAGACCUUUGUAGCGCAGCUAACGCACUAAGUAGACCGCCUGGGGAGUACGGCCGCAAGGUUAAAACUCAAAUGAAUUGACGGGGGCCCGCACAAGCAGUGGAGCAUGUGGUUUAAUUCGAUGCAACGCGAAGAACCUUACCAGGCCUUGACAUCCUAGGAAUCCUGUAGAGAUACGGGAGUGCCUUCGGGAAUCUAGUGACAGGUGCUGCAUGGCUGUCGUCAGCUCGUGUCGUGAGAUGUUGGGUUAAGUCCCGUAACGAGCGCAACCCUUGUCCUUAGUUGCCAGCACAUUAUGGUGGGAACUCUAAGGAGACUGCCGGUGACAAACCGGGNGGAAGGUGGGGACGACGUCAAGUCAUCAUGGCCCUUACGGGCCUGGGGCUACACACGUGCUACAAUGGCUAGGGACAGACGGCUGCAAACCCGCGAGGGGG
rnacentral:rRNA from 1 species